rnacentral:sRNA from 1 species
AUUCUGCCCAUGCGGGGAAGGAUGAGAAGCUUCGACUAAGGUUCGACUCGAGCGCCAGCGAGAGAGCGUUGCCGCAGGCAACGAUCCGAAGGGCGAAGCGCGCAGCGCUGAGUAAUCCUUCCCCCUCCACCA